AGGACGAGGAGGAAGGCGAGGAGUGCUGUAUGAGGUACUGUGUAGUGGACGAGGAUGAGUACGUGAUCACGACGCGCGAGGCUGUGAAGCGCCAUUCAUCGGCCAAGGAUUUGAGCGUGGUGAAAGGGACGACGCUUGGGGAGAUCUUGGAGCGCAUUAGGGCAGCGGUGGGGACUCGCGAGGGCACGGACACUGCCUUGUUUGCUCUGUCGAGCUUGAGUUGGAUCCCAAUCCGGGAGGAGUAUUUGCAGCGACGGAUCGACAAGGGGCUCUAUCUCAAGGUCGUGAGGGCGCCAAUCACCGAGAUAAGCUAUGGCUUGGCAGAGCGAUAUGUUGUUCAUGAUGGGAGAAGGCAGCACGAGGAAGAAACUUGGCAAUUUUUUUGACGUCCGAGCUUACGUUAUUGUUGGUUGAAUCAGACAACUGAUCUAUCUGAUGCUCCUUGUCGAAUUCUUUCGCAAGUGAAGUCGAGCAAAGAGGUGCCACGAAGCUGGAGGUGAAAACAAAAUGAUAGAGUUGGAAUGGAAAACAAAACAAUAAUUUUAAGCUUUUUCGUUACA